rnacentral:rRNA from 1 species
UUCCAGGGUAGCGGGAAUUGUUGUGGAUUUGGAGAAUUCCGUUGGGAAGGGGGCCCUGGGAGGAAGUCUGACUUCAGGUGCGAAAGCUGGGGGACCAACAUGAUUAGAUACCUUGGUAGUCCACGUUGUAAACGAUUUCGAUUGGAGGUUUGUCCCCUUGAGGCGUGGCUUCCGGAGUUAACGCGUUAAAUCGACCGCCUGGGGAGUACGGCCGCAAGGUUAAAACUCAAAUGAAUUGACGGGGGCCCGCACAAGCGGUGGAGCAUGUGGUUUAAUUCGAUGCAACGCGAAGAACCUUACCUACUCUUGACAUCCAGAGAACUUAGCAGAGAUGCUUUGGUGCCUUCGGGAACUCUGAGACAGGUGCUGCAUGGCUGUCGUCAGCUCGUGUUGUGAAAUGUUGGGUUAAGUCCCGCAACGAGCGCAACCCUUAUCCUUUGUUGCCAGCGGUUCGGCCGGGAACUCAAAGGAGACUGCCAGUGAUAAACUGGAGGAAGGUGGGGAUGACGUCAAGUCAUCAUGGCCCUUACGAGUAGGGCUACACACGUGCUACAAUGGCGUAUACAAAGAGAAGCGACCUCGCGAGAGCAAGCGGACCUCAUAAAGUACGUCGUAGUCCGGAUUGGAGUCUGCAACUCGACUCCAUGAAGUCGGAAUCGCUAGUAAUCGUAGAUCAGAAUGCUACGGUGAAUACGUUCCCGGGCCUUGUACACACCGCCCGUCACACCAUGGGAGUGGGUUGCAAAAGAAGUAGGUAGCUUAACCUUCGGGAGGGCGCUUACCACUUUGUGAUUCAUGACUGGGGU